rnacentral:rRNA from 1 species
GACGAACGCUGGCGGCGUGCUUAACACAUGCAAGUCGAACGGAAAGGCCCUGCUUUUGUGGGGUGCUCGAGUGGCGAACGGGUGAGUAACACGUGAGUAACCUGCCCUUGACUUUGGGAUAACUUCAGGAAACUGGGGCUAAUACCGGAUAGGAGCUCCUGCUGCAUGGUGGGGGUUGGAAAGUUUCGGCGGUAGGGGAUGGACUCGCGGGUUAUCAGCUUGUUGGUGGGGUAGUGGCUUACCAAGGCUUUGACGGGUCGCCGGCCUGAGAGGGUGACCGGCCACCUUGGGACUGAGAUACGCCGCAGACUCCUACGGGAGGCAGCAGUGGGGAAUAUUGCACAAUGGGCGGAAGCCUGAUGCGGCAACGUCGCGUGCGGGAUGCCGGCCUUCGGGUUGUAAACCGCUUUCGCCUGUGACGAAGCGUGAGUGACGGUAAUGGGUAAAGAAGCACCGGCUAACUACGUG